AUGGCGGAAGCAGUGAAGUCAGAGAAAUCUGUGCAAAAGAUCCUGAUUCCUCUGGGGUACGAACUUGCAUGGUGCAGGGGACGAAUGUUUCUAAAUGACACAGGAAGCCAUUUGAUGCUGUCCUCAAGCCCCAGGGAUUUUACAGAGUAGGUUUUGAAGAGAUUAUGGUGCCAUCUGUGUAUGCCCAGAAGUGAUAAUUAUAAUAGCAGAAGAACCAGCCUCAGCUUUGGUGCCUUCUUUUUCAAAAGUGACCUGAAUGGAGUCAUUGCAUUUACUGAUUAGUUACAGUUCUUUCUCUUCAUUCAAAUUGGUAAUGAGGGAAACAAUACUUCUCAAUACUCUUUUAGUAAAAAUGAAUAUCUCCUGAAGUAAACAGUUCAGGUGUAGACUACUUAAUGGGCUUAUUCAGCAGAGUUUAUGAAAAAGUUGAACCAGUUCAUUCUUAGCUUGUUUUCAGUUUUUACAUACGGAUUAUCUUUUGCUAGUCUGUGAAGCUUGUAAACCACCUUCUGUGCCAAGCUAUUGUUUCUUAGCUGCCAGCCCACUCUUCCAAACUCGACUUUGUGAUGGUGAGGCUGAGAUUUUGUCAACCACAUUUCAGCACUGCCACUUGGCUCCUGGCUAGGCUAUACCACUAGAGACCACUAGAUGGGCUUCCUGUUUAUUUCCUAUGACUGUGCUAUACUUCUUCAUCUUUUCCGCAUUAUCUUCCCUUAAUUUAUUGGGAAUUCAGAGAUUAGGAUUGACAUAAAUACUGUGUGUAAAUUAGCUAGUGGGAAGCCUCUGUACAGCACAGGAAGCUCAGCUCGGUGUCUGUGAUGACCUAGAG
rnacentral:lncRNA from 1 species